CGCAUGGCGCGGCGGCGGCCUUAUCCCCCGACGGCGGGUACACGUCGGACACGCACGACGAGGGCCGACCACAAGAAGAAGGAGAUGGUGGACGAUUCGCCGCCACCUACCCAGGUCCCAAUUCAGUUGGUCGCCACAACUCCCCGAGCGACCGCAUCAGCGAGUGGGUUAGUAGCAUUGACGGCGAGAGCCUCUGCAUCACCGAGGACGAGGACGUCGCUGUCGACGACCAGCGCAAGGACCUCACCGACUACCUGCCCGCCCAAGCUCCAUCGAGGCCGGGGAGGCGUCAGGUAAUAAGGGCCAGGGAGUACAGAAAAGGGCGAGCGGCCAUGUCGGUCAUGCCAAGAAGCGAGAGGCCAUGCAGGAGGCCAGGAAGGCCACAAGUGAGACAUCCAGGUUGACUUCGCCAUGCGGGUCGCGCUGCAUAUUCGUCCCAUUGCCGGCAAAUCAUUCGUCAGCUGGGAAGGUCAGCAAGCAGGUUCAACAGCUCGAUGGUCAAUGCCAAUCAUUGGGAUUCCAUGGAUGCCAUACAAUACAUGUACAUAUUUGAUCAUAUCUCCUGGAACUGAUCAACCUCCGUAGAAGCCAACAAUGUGGAGCAGUGCCCCUGUAGCCAGUACGGUAAUUAGCCAAAUACACUCGAAUAUAAAUCCUAAAACACAUGGUAAAAUACUUAGCAAACAAAGUUAUUUAUUUUUCCGGUAAACUACUACAGUAUCAUUUUCCAAUUUCAGGUAUGCAUAUUGUAUUAUUGCAUGAAAUCAGUGAGAAGCGAUCUCACACCAAAUAUGAUUAAAUUUCACAAAUAAUCCCAAAUAUGAUUAAAUUUGACAAUUUGUGCUUACCCCUUUGUUGGGGCUUGUAGGAUUAUUGUGAUAGACUAAAUGUAGAAUUCUCUUGCGGGUGAAAAUAUGUGUUGUACAAAUGUUAUCAAGUAUUUGUAGUGCCUAUUUUUAUCGUUUGAAAUAUAUUAUUUUUUCCAUGAUAUUUCUAUUUUUGAGAUUUUGUGACAGGGGCCUUUGCGAGAGAACUUUUUCUAGGAACCAAAAGUCGUCACGAUCAAUCACAACAUGUAUCCAACUAUCCAUCAACCAGCCUAGAGACUCGUGCACUUGAGACCCAAACAUGAACCAGCUACAAGUCCAUCAGACCUAAGAAAAAAGAUCAACACACUGCUUUCUUGCAAUCCAAUAGGAUUCCUCUCUUCAAUUACAUACCAUGAUAUGUAAAAUGAAGGAAACAAGCACAAGAGGCAAGAAAGCACAACACCACUCCAAAUAAUUGUACACAAUUAUAUACUACAUAUUACUUCUAUCCCUGAAAAUUAUAGAGCCAAAUUAGACGGGCGCCGCAACACGCGCCAUCAAUGAUCUAGUUGUUCAUCAAACCCACUAGGGUAUAAUGGAGACGCCAGUGCAUGUUUUUUUCCCACGGUUUCACUAGUAG